ACUGGCUUUCUGUUAAUAUAUUUUGUUUAUCAAUAAAUUUGAUUAGUCUGGCAGUGAACAGUUUUUCCAUUACUUUUGAGAACUGAUAAAGAAGAGCAACAGGCGUUUAAUUUGAGGACACGUGUCUAUCUCCACAAUUGUACAAUUUUAAGACUGUAGCUAUUUUAAUUUCAUUUGAAAAUGUACCAAAGUAAUUGUAAGUUUUUUUUGGAAACCCCAAUCGAUAACCUUUUCAAUUAUGACCUUGUCAGUUUUAUUCCAAUCAGUGGAGAAUUUGUUUUUACACUUUCUUACAAUCUCUAUAAUUUCUUCCUCUUGUAUUCCUGAAAGAAACAUCAAAUUUGGAUUUAUUUUUAUGAGUUUGUCUACCUUAUCUGCUGGCAACCCUUUGUUUAAGAUUGUUUGCCAGAUCUGGUCCAACACUGACAAAAAAAUCUUUAAAGCUGUGAACCACCUCAGCCAUGUUAUGUACCGUCAGCCAUGGAGCUGAGCACAGGUUGCUUGUUUAUGUAGAGUGUUGUUCUCUGUCUCUCCACAGGCAGGUGCAGCUACACAGCUGUUCCUCAUCAGGAACGAUCAGAGAGAGCUUCAUAAGCUGUUGGAACCUUGGAGGAGGUUGCUGUUGGUGACAUCCGGUCCUGGAUUGUCUGUUGUGAUUCUGCCUUCUGCAUGGUUGGGUGAAUGCUUAAAUGAAUUCACCUCAGCUAUAUGACUUCUCUGGGUUUCCCGGAUCAACUAGCAGAAUCGCUGCUCGUGCUCCACGUGCUGCCUGUCCAGCCUCCAACGCAACCCAACUUCUGUAUCUCGCUCACACAGCACACCGACCUGUCAACCUCAGUCUCUGUGGCUUGCUCACCAUCUCCCAGAAAGAUUAAAUCCACCUCGAAUGUGCCAACUCGCUGAAACCAGACUCCCGCUGGAGCCUGAAUCAGCCAAUGUUACUAAACUCUUUAGAACUUUAUCCUGUGAUUGUGCCUGCACUAGAGCCUCCUGGUUCUCACCUAUUAUGAGAUGUACAGGUUUUAAUACAAUGUGGGUCAUUUAUUUGGCUGCGGUUAGGUUUAAUAUUUAAUGUAAUCCAAAUGCCUCUAACGAUCUUAUCUAAUAGGUUACUAUAAUCUUUUUGACACGUUUAAUAUUGUCGUUGAUGUAUCUCUGCUUGUUUAGUUCUAGAUCUUGUGAAUUUUUUGUACAAGAUGUUCUCUUACAAGCUUUUUUUUUUUAUGCUUUAGGGAUUAAUGGGUCCUUUGGUAUAUUCACAUUUCUUACUGAAUUAUAUUACUUGGGGAGAGAGAGAUAUUCUUGAAAAUCUUCAUAAACUGAUCUGCAAUGUUUGUAUAUUAUAUUACUUUCCAAUUUUGUUUUAACAACUGAGAUUCUUCAGUCCUAAUUAUUUUGUAGAUUAAUGAAUUCUGCUCAUAUUCCCUGUAAAUACUAUUAGAAUCUGUUAAAAAAAAAAAAAGUUACUAGUAUAAUUAAGAAUUCUCUUCUUACACUGUUUUCUAUGCCAUUAAUAAAUAUGUUGCACUGUGAGAUGUAAUUCUGCCAGGUCAGGCCAUUUCUAGAUAUAUUCCCAUGAUGUACAUUAAUUUUAUAAACUCUUCUCUAAGUGUUUAAUUGAAUUUUGAGGGUCAAUAUUGAAUUCUCCACAGAUGAACAUAGAUUUGUGGCAGAGUUUGCUAAAGGUUUUCUCAAUCCAGACACUUCUAUAUUUAAACCAGGUGUUCUGUAGAUACAACUUGGAAUUUUUUAUUUUCUUGCCAUCUAAACUAAUUUCAGUGGUUAUUGAUUGCAAUAUGUUAACUACAGUGGUCAUAUUUUCAACAACUUUAAAAUACACUUUUGUUAAAUAGAAUAGAACUUUAUUAAUCCUUUACAGGAAAUUGCUUUGUUACAGAGGCAUCACUUAUGAAACACCAACAACAAAAGUAAGCUAAUCUUGAUCGAUUUAAUUUGCUGCAUUAUAUUUUUUUCUGCUAUUGCUCUCCUGUUGAAUUUUAUGUAAAUUUGACCAUUUGCAGACCUUGUACUUUGUAUUUUGCUUAGUUUUUUCAUCAUAGCCUUUGUAUUUCCUUCCUUGUUUCAGGAGUUUUAUUUUCUUUUUCAAGUCAACAAACUUGAAUAUGAUGGCUAAUUUGUCCCUCUUGUUUCUCUGUGGCCAUUGAUGGCAUGCCUCAAUGUUGUCUUUGUUAAAUUUGUUUCCUUUGCUAACCAGAAAGUUUGAAUACUGUUUACUUGGUUCCUCAUCAUUUCUAGGAGCAAUUGCUUUCACAUAUGACAGUGGUUUGAUUUCCAGUCCAGUAAUAAUAUCAACAAUGUUUUUGUCUUUCUGUGUUCUGCAGCAGCACAGCUCUUAACUCCUUAAGUUCAAGAAUAUAUUUCUGCUGCUGCUUGAUUGCAGUAAUCUCCUCUGUUAGAAAGUCCAAUGACUUUUUGAUGUCUUGGUUGUCUUCAGCAAGAUGAGUCUUCUUUUGACCAAUUUUGAAAUAUGUUUCUUUGUUUUUUUAUUAUAUCCAGUAACCUGUCUGCAGAAAAGUCCAAAUUGCUGAAACAGUACUGUAGUUAACUAGCUGUUACCUGCAGUUUGUUGCAGUAGGUGACCUGGUCUGGUGGCUUGGUGGUGAAUCCUGAUUUCAGCCCAGUGCCAGAACCUGAUGCUGGGUGAAGUGGUUUCUGUUGAAGCCGAAAGCUGUUGAUUGAUUUUGCUAUUAAUUUCUAAUGUGUUUUGUUUUGUUUUUUUGUUACCAGUAACUAGUUGUUUUAUCUGAUUGUUUGUUUACUUGAUUUUAUCAUUUUGAUCAUUUUAUUGUGUGUAUGCCUGCAGUGUUUAAAUGUCUGCCUUUAUGUUUUAACCUCUGCAAAACACUUUGUGUUACACUUAACUGUAUGAGAAGCUCAAAAUUUAGAUUUGUUUUGGUUUAUUGAUUUUUAAAGGAAUACACCAUAUAUACAUUGAUGUUCAACCAUAAGGAGCUUGAGACCUAAACUUGGACAAUUACGCCCCCUGCUGUUUGUAUUAUAUAUGUAAGUAAAAUAGAAACUGUGUCCCUCAUACCUGAGUGUGCUUGAUUUCAAACACCGAUAAAUCUUCAUUUUAUGAGCCCAAAUUGGAGCUGUACACUAAACUUUGCUAUCACUACUUUGGUCUUGGGUGGACAUUGUAUCAUGCAGGCCAAGUCUGGCAUUCCAAAUGUAAUGUCAAAACAAAUUUAAGCUGUGUUCCCAGCUGCCCAGUACUUGCUGUUUUCCUGUCACGCUUUUCUUUUUUAUGUAUUUCUAGGUUUCGUUCAUGGAAUGAGUCCAACUAUUGUCAGCUACAAGUCUGAACACAAGCAGAAGGAAGAGAUGAGCUAGAGUACAAAGAUUGCAUGUAGUUGAUCACUGGAUAAUCAGUUUUGUGAAUUUGGCAUGCUGGUGAAAUAGGACCUGUUUUAACUGGGUGUCUGUGGUUUUUAAAAAAUGUCAUAUGCUGCUGUAUUUCAGUUUAAAUAAUAUGGAUACAGAACAAGUGCAGUGAUCAGUGGGAGUGAAUGACUGCCAUCACGGUGUCUUCUGUGGGUCUGGAUUAGAUAGGAAUGGAAGUGAACAGGCCUCCAAUGUCAACAACAGGGAGGAUACUGGGGACUGCUGAGCGGAUGUGACCUCAAGAACUUUGGGAAAUAAAAUGACUGUGGAUAAAGCGGAAGCAUGAAAACACAGGCAGAAAACCACACAUACUGUUUCUAGUUUUUGAGUAAAAAAAAAAAUUGGUCUAUGGAUUUCUUCAUCAUUCUCCAGGAACUGCUUCAGAAAAAGACUGAACUCCCUGGAUGUCAUGUAAGGAUCCUGCAAUUUUCCCAGGAAAAGAAACGUCUCAAUCAGUUAAUAAAACACUGAUAUCUGUUAUGCAACA